rnacentral:rRNA from 1 species
GAUCAACGCUGGCGGCGUGCAUGAGACAUGCAAGUCGAACGAAGGAUCGGGCUUGCUCGAUCCUUAGUGGCGGACGGCUGAGUAACGCGUAGGUGACCUACCCCGAAGUGGGGAAUAACUGCCCGAAAGGGUGGCUAAUACCGCAUGUGGUCGCACGUUCAUUCGUGCGAGUAAAGCUGCAAGGCGCUUCGGGAGGGGCCUGCGUCCGAUUAGUUCGUUGGUGGGGUAAUGGCUUACCAAGGCGACGAUCGGUAGGUGGUCUGAGAGGACGAUCACCCAGACUGGGACUGAGACACGGCCCAGACUCCUACGGGAGGCAGCAGUCGGGAAUUUUGCUCAAUGGGGGAAACCCUGAAGCAGCAACGCCGCGUGAGGGAUGAAGGCCUUCGGGUUGUAAACCUCUUUUGUCAGGGACGAUGAUGACGGUACCUGGCGAAUAAGCCACGGCUAACUACGUG